rnacentral:rRNA from 1 species
GGCUCAGAUUGAACGCUGGCGGCGUGCCUAACACAUGCAAGUCGAGCGGUAACAGGUGUAGCAAUACAUGCUGACGAGCGGCGAACGGGUGAGUAAUGCUUCGGAAUCUACCUUAUGGUGGGGAAUAACUAGUCGAAAGAUUAGCUAAUACCGCAUACGUCCUACGGGAGAAAGCAGGGGAUCGCAAGACCUUGCGCCAAAAGAUGAGCCGAAGUCGGAUUAGCUAGUUGGUAGGGUAACGGCCUACCAAGGCGACGAUCCGUAGCUGGUCUGAGAGGACGACCAGCCACACUGGAACUGAGACACGGUCCAGACUCCUACGGGGGGCAGCAGUGGGGAAUAUUGGACAAUGGGGGAAACCCUGAUCCAGCGACGCCGCGUGUGUGAAGAAGGCCUGCGGGUUGUAAAGCACUUUUAGUGGGGAUGAAAUGUGCAGGGUUAAUACCUCUGUACUUUGACCUAACCCACAGAAAAAGCACCGGCUAACUCUGUGCCAGCAGCCGCAGUAAUACAGAGGGUGCAAGCGUUAAUCGGAAUUACUGGGCGUAAAGCGUGCGUAGACGGUUACAUAAGUCGGGUGUGAAAGCCCCGGGCUCAACCUGGGAAUUGCAUUCGAGACUGCGUAGCUAGGGUGCGGAAGAGGGAAGCGGAAUUUCCGGUGUAGCGGUGAAAUGCGUAGAUAUCGGAAGGAACACCAGUGGCGAAAGCGGCUUCCUGGUCCAGCACCGACGUUCAGGCACGAAAGCGUGGGGAGCAAACAGGAUUAGAUACCCUGGUAGUCCACGCCAUAAACGAUGAGAACUAGACGUUGAAGGGGUAAGCCCUCCAGUGUCGUAGCUAACGCGCUAAGUUCUCCGCCUUGGGAGUACGGCCGCAAGGUGAAACU